rfam:Actinobacillus minor NM305 Contig_171a, whole genome shotgun sequence.
ACAAAUUGUAGAGGCGCAGGUCCGAUAAGUACUUUUUCUGAGUGGAAAACGAUGAGGAAAAGAGAAAGGCGUAUCUGCCGAAAUCAAUUAAGCGUCAUCUUAGUUGGUUGGGGUCGUUAUCGAAAGGGACGACACUGUCGUAAUACUUAUUUAAAUGAAAAAUGUUUGAAUAAGAUUGCGGAGUGCUACUGUAAGU